AUGUUGAACUUUCCCAUCAGUUCCCCUUUUAGCCACAGCUGGAGCCCAGUCCUGGUCCCUCUGUGCAGUGUGAACAGCAGGAGCAUCCUCAUGGCAUGGCACCAGGCUGGGCAGUGCCAGCACAUACCCUGCCCAGGACUGCCACGGUGCUGUGGGAUGUUGCUCUCCUGCAAGAGAGUCUCUGCAUCAGGGUGUGGAGCUGCCAGCUUGGGUUCAGGUGCUGCAGGACGUCCUCCAGCACCCAACAGAGUCCUGGACCACCUGAUGUAUAGAUUUUCCCAAAUAACUCCCCUUGCUGCCAACAGAACCUGUCACUCAUGUAAAAUUUCCUAUUUCCAUCUUUGCAGGUUUGAACUGCAAAUGCAGAUUUCAGAGCCAAAGGAGGAGUGGCACCAUUUUACCAUGCACUGCAAGCAUCAAUCCAAGAAGAAAGUUCUAAUACAGAUGGGGAUGUCCUUGUCAUGGCCAUUUCACUUUCUGAGACAUCAACUACAAGGUCUAAAACUAGCAGAGCGAAGACAGCAUCCAGCUUCGUGAGACAGGGCUGUCAGUCGCCCUGUGAGAGGAAGCUCUCCGGGUGCUCAGGGAGGGGUUCCAAAGCUACUCCUGGUGAAGAAACACCCUCCAGCAGCCCACAUCCUCACCUGACUUCUCUUCUCCGAGGACAGUUGAAGAAAAGUGCUUUCCACUCCUUUGCCACAGGUGGACUUCCAGAGAGUGGAGAGGACCAAGCACUCUCCUGGCCAGCGAUGAGACAGUGACUGGAGGUGAGUGGCUCGGUUCCUGGAGGAGGAGAACACACUGGCCUUUGAAGGUGGGUCAGGGGGGGCUAAUCUGAGCAGCAGGGCUGUGAUGGGGCCAGGUCUUGUCCAUGCCACAUAGUUUAGGCAGAAAAGGUCCAAGCAUCUUUGGGAAACUGGAUUUGGGGACUGACAGCCCUGAGAGCUCUCAGGAAUAGAGAAGACAAACAAGAGAUACUGUCAGGAGAGUUUUGAAAGGUCCCUGAGCUGAAGCAGGAAGUGUGGGAAGCAGGAUGCUGAGUGAGAGCAGUCAGGAGAGCAGGUUGCUCCAGAGUGCUGCAGAACCCUGCAGCAGCUCCAGCUCCAGAGGUGCAGGUGUGGGGCUGAGGUGAGUGGCUGCCUGAGAAAUCUCUCCUGCAGUCUGCCUCCUCGUGGCUUGGUACAAACCUCUGUCAGCUCCUCCAUGGGACUGCACACGCUGCUGGCACUCUGCUCUCUACCACAGAUCAGCAUCCUUGGAGAGGGAGAUGCAAAGGGGGAUAUGGGAUACAGGAGAAAAAUCAGUUCUUGCUUUCUCUUAGCACCCAUUGCAUGUUAGUCCUUGAGCAGAGAAAUCCUCUUAUAGUCCUGUUGCAGAUGCAUUUCACCUACAGAGCUUCUGCUCUGUCCCAAAGCAGGAUAUUGUGUUUUCUCCCUGUUUGCUCUCUCAGUGAGUUGUUAUUUCCCUCUGCUCCUGUCUCACCUAUCCCAGACUCUGUAAAUUUCAGGAUUUAACAAAUUCCCCAGGUUAACCAGGA
rnacentral:lncRNA from 1 species